rnacentral:lncRNA from 1 species
CCCUUUACUUUUUUUUUUUUCUUGUAAUCGACUCUAUUAUUACUAAAAAAAAAUAAUGCUCAAAUCCCCACUGACUUAUUUUUCUUUGAGAAUGGGGUUGAUAUUGCAUUGGCAGCACCACAUGAGAGACCUAGAUUUCUAUUAUCACCGAGGUAUUUGAAAACCAUUAACUAUUCCUAAAAUGGGUAGGGGCAUGUAUUCCCACAAACUACCCCAAAAAAAAGUACUUGGGCAAGCUUAUAAGUAUU